CAGUAGGCAGCGCAGUUGUUGCUUUUCGAGGGGUUUUUUUGGGGGGUAGCCAAAAUUCCGGGGCCACUGUUUUGGAAAAACUAAAGUUUCCACCUUCGUUUGUGGCACAUCGCCACUUGCUUUUCAUUUACAGCUGCCGCUGUUCAAAUGUCUGAAGUGCUGAAAGCUCCAUUAAUAAAAUUGGCAUGCGGAGAUGAUAAAGAAGAAACACAAAUCUGCUAGCCUUGAAACUCAGAAAUAGUUGGAUACUCCUGCUACUUAACCAAAGUGAAUAAUAAAUAAAAACCUAUCAAUUCAAAAGGA